UUUCAUUUAAACAUAAGCUCAUUUUCCCUUACAUUUCCAUUUUCUUUCCUUCUUUGGAUCACUGAUCCUUCUUUACAGUGGAAGUCCAGCUACAAAAGCUAGAAGCUAUCCUAACAUAAGCAUUUUCCUACAAUCUAUUUUUAUUUCUAUUUUUGUCUUCUCUUCUCUUUCAUCCUCCUCUUACUCUUCGUAAUCACUCCUAUUCAUCGCCACCAUCUUGAGUUUCAUCUUCUUCACUUUCUCCUUCAUAUCUUUUGGCUUCAAAAUAUCCUUGAUGUCCUUGUUUUUAGUGUCAAAACAAAUGGUACGGAUCACAGAAUUUGUGUCCCAUUUGGCUCUCUUAGCAAGUUGGAGUAGAGUGUCAAAAUCCUCUCCGGAUUUUAUGAAAAAUUUGUGGUGUGAAACAGCGGUAUUCACUGCUUCAUUCAAAGUUUCCUCAGCAACCAACAAAUCGUUAGUUGCCUCCCUAAACUUUGAGAGAGCAAGUUGUGAGGCAGUAGGCAUUUUCGUUAGAACUUGGCUUGGCAAAAAGUUUGUGUGUGCACUGUGCUAUGAUCCACUCUCACUUGGCUGUGUCUAUCUUUAAAUAGAGCUAUUGGUAAUUCAACGAUUAAGAGAGACAGACAGCCUCCCUCCUCUCUCACUCAUCCCCCGUUCGCUUAGCUGUUAAAGCAUAUAGACAUUAUAGCGUAGCAGCAGAGCCAGAAAGCCAGAGCCCUGUCUCUCUCUCUG
rnacentral:lncRNA from 1 species